GGAGGGUGCCGCUGAAGUGGUCGGCAACCGGUCCCGAAAACCGGGGCGACGAGAAAUUGUCGGGGGUUCGAACCCUCCACCCUCCGCCA
rnacentral:tRNA from 1 species